AGGCGCCCUUGCAAUCGCCAUUACAAGAUGGCGCUGAUAUCCGGUGUUCUAACUAGUAAACAGGUAGUCUGCGCAUGUGCUGGGGUAUUUUUCCAUUCCUUGUACCAUGCCUGUCCCGUGGCGUCAUCUGGGCUGAUAGUGAGCAGCCAGUCAGGGUGAAAUAUGUCCCCAAACGCUCUUGUGAGCUAUUUAAGGACCGAGUUUCCUGUGUCCUGGGCCUCCUCCCCAGAAGCUGAUGACCUUUCUCUCAAGAUGCAUUAAAGCUAUGCUGCAGAAGAACCCGUGUGUGUCCUUGCUGGCGAGACUCCCUUAUCACACAGACACAUCUGGUGCCGAGAACCCGGGAACGCCACAACAUCGCUGGCAUUGAGAAGUUCCCCUGGAAACGGGGCAGGUCCAGAACUGCAGUGGAAGGAGGAAAUUAAUCCCUUUUGGAUUCUGGAGCACCUCACUCGAAGAAUCCAGCUCUUGGAUGAUGAGUCAUAAGAACAAGAUCUCAAGACAUCGAUGGAUCAUACUUCUCAUGCUGGAGAUUCUCAUUCCUAGUAUAUCUGGAGAGUUAAGAUGGGGAAUUAUGUCAACUUUCCUUCUUCCUAUGCCGGUUAUGCAUAAUGCACAAAUAUUUCCAAGCUUUUUCACUACAGAUAAAGAAC
rnacentral:lncRNA from 1 species